CUUCUCAGUGCCACGGCUUUUUUCGGGAAUCGUGAUAUAUCAUUCUGUUACAACAUAACCUGCUGUUCGACGAAAUAGAACCGAAGAUGCAUGCAAAAAUCGAGGUACGCGCAAUGGAAAAGUUUAUCCCAUAAAUUUUCAAUAAGAACGGCGAUGAAUACAAAGAGGAGGAGAAAUAUGCUAUUCGUGAAAGGAGUGAAAGGUAAACAACGACGCGUGCAACCGAAACAAAACAGGGCGAAGAAGGGUCGAGGAAAAGGGAGGACAAAUUUUCUACUUUUCAUAUAUUCGACUCUUAUUGCGUGAAGCAUGAAAAUAUUUCUCUUACUAUUGAAACGUUACUCGAUUAAUUCUUAUAUAUACGAUUUUAAUCUGUAAAGAAGUUUAAAGAAGAGGAUUUAAAAUUUUAUUGUACACGGAUGAAUUUGAAAAUAAAUUUUGUUAAUACACAAUUAUUCGAAUCACGAUGUUUCCAGCCACAGAUUUUCUAAAGAAGAGGAGGAUGGAAGGUUUGCCUAACAGGAAACGGAAAAUGCCUCCUUUUCUUCUUCUCUUUCACACUUUUCCGCAACCAUUUUUCGUGCGGUCCUGUAAAUCUUCGUUUUCAGAGGUGGACGACGUAUUCGAGUUCACCCCUCGGGGUGAAUGUAAAUAAAAGAUCUUUUUAACGUAGAUAAAAAUGGACAUUUUUUCAGAUAUCGAUAGAAUUGGUUAAUUUAAGUGUUAAAUUAAAUUGUGAUUGUAAUCUUCGCGAAAAGAAUUUAGAAUUAUUUGGAAUAUUCUUGAAUAUUUUUUGAAUAUUAUAUUUUACGGGAUAUAUUAUGUUUAAUAUAAAUAUAUAUUUGUUAUAUUUACAGAAAGGCAAAAAUGGAGAUAAAAUAAGAUAAUCUUUCAACUCACCGGUGCGUGUUGCCAAAAGACAAAUCGUUAGAAGCGCUGCAAGCUUUUUGGAAAACCUGUAAAUAAAAGGAACGCAUUGAUUAUUGAUCGAGUAUUGUCAGUAACGGUAAGAUAAAUUGAAAAAAUUCUUUUUUCUAAAGUAUUUGAGAUCGAUGAAUCCUGUUCAAUUGCGGAUGAAUAUUGAUUAGAAAAUAAAUAAAUAAAUAAAUAAUAAAGAACAGUGAAAAA